GCUCGGGUGGUGAAAUUGGUAGACACGCAAGGUUGAGGGCCUUGUGGGCGUUAUAGCCCGUGUGGGUUCGAAUCCCACCCCGAGCACCA
rnacentral:tRNA from 1 species